AUUGGACGCUGGCGGCAUGCUUUACACAUGCAAGUCGAACGGCAGCGCGGGCUUCGGCCUGGCGGCGAGUGGCGAACGGGUGAGUAAUGCAUUGGAACGUGCCCAGUAGUGGGGGAUAGCCCGGCGAAAGCCGGAUUAAUACCGCAUACGACCUGAGGGUGAAAGCGGGGGACCGAAAGGCCUCGCGCUAUUGGAGCGGCCGAUGUCGGAUUAGCUAGUUGGUGGGGUAAAGGCUUACCAAGGCGACGAUCCGUAGCUGGUCUGAGAGGACGACCAGCCACACUGGGACUGAGACACGGCCCAGACUCCUACGGGAGGCAGCAGUGGGGAAUUUUGGACAAUGGGGGCAACCCUGAUCCAGCCAUGCCGCGUGCGGGAAGAAGGCCUUCGGGUUGUAAACCGCUUUUGUUCGGGAAGAAAUCCUCUGGGCUAAUACCCCGGGGGGAUGACGGUACCGGAAGAAUAAGCACCGGCUAACUACGUG
rnacentral:rRNA from 1 species